UCGCCUCUUUUAAAAAAAACGAAAAACUGAAAAACCCGCAAAGCUCAUCGCCGCCGUUUCGCUCCGAUGGCUCUCUUCCUCCAUUUCCCCCUCUCCUUCUCUUCUUCGUCUUCCAGAAAUCGGACACCCAAUUCGCCCAUAUUUAUAACCCCUGCAACCAACUCCUUCCCUCUCCCAACUUUCCGUCGCUCUCUCCGCCACCGCCAUCGGCCUCUAACUCCAAACGCAAGCGUCGCCGUUGAUUCUCUAGCCACGAAUUCCUGUACCGACCCUCGCGGAGAUUCUCCAAAACUACUACUGGAAGUGAAAGAUCUGACGGCCGUGAUUGCAGAAUCGAAGCAGCAGAUCCUACGUGGCAUAAAUCUCUCCAUCUUCGAAGGGGAGGUCCAUGCUAUCAUGGGGAAGAAUGGUUCUGGGAAGAGCACAUUUUCAAAGGUUCUUGUCGGCCAUCCAGAUUAUGAAGUCACAGGGGGUAGUGUUGUUUUUAAAGGUGAAAACUUGCUUGACAUGGACCCAGAAGAAAGGUCCCAUGCAGGGAUUUUUAUGAGCUUCCAGUCCCCUGUUGAGAUCCCAGGUGUAAGCAAUAUGGACUUUCUGCGCAUGGCAUACAAUUCUCGAAGAACAAACCGUGGCCUACCAGAGCUCGGUCCUAUCGAGUUUUAUGGCUUUCUAUCACCCAAGCUUGCUGCUGUCAAUAUGAAUCCAAACUUUUUGGACCGAAAUGUUAACGAAGGAUUUAGUGGCGGUGAAAAGAAGCGCAAUGAAAUUCUGCAACUAGCGGUCCUCGAAGCAGAUUUGGCCAUUUUAGAUGAAAUUGAUUCUGGGUUAGAUGUCGAUGCACUUCAAGAUGUGGCGAAAGCAGUCAAUAGUCUUUUGACUCCCAAAAAUUCUGUACUCAUGAUCACUCAUUAUCAACGCCUUUUGGAUUUUAUCAACCCCACAUACGUCCAUAUAAUGGAGGAUGGGAGAAUUGUGAAGACAGGUGAUAUCUCACUAGCAAAACAGCUUGAAAAAGAGGGCUACAAGGCAAUUUCUGCUCCAUAGUUAUGAAGACUAUGUUAUUGACGAUAUCGGCCAGUAUAUCCCACAAUAUAUUUUGUAUCCUGCUUGUGUGAUGCGAAAUGCACAGGUAGUGCGAUGCAUCCCACCUGUUCAGUUCGAUAAUGGUGUCGAAUAUGGGAGAGCAUGGUGGUUGAGGAGCCCACUAUCGAAUUAUUUUGUGUAUGGCGUAUACCCAUUUUUCAUUGGUAAAUAUAAAAAUGUUAAAAGAAUUUGAUCAAUCAGGUGAGGAAAGAAGAGGUAAAGAUUCCCUCUUCUUUUUCAAAAAAGAAAAAAAGAGUUGUACGCAACAUUUUUGCAUUUUUUUUAUUUGUUUUUGGGAUAUGAUGUUUAACUUUAUUUGAGGUAGUAAAUUUAUUUUUCUUUGUUCAAA